rnacentral:rRNA from 1 species
AUUGAACGCUGGCGGCAGGCCUAACACAUGCAAGUCGAACGGUAACAGGAGGCGGCUUGCUGCUUCGCUGACGAGUGGCGGACGGGUGGGUGAUGGCUGGGAAGCUGCCUGAUGGAGGGGGAUAACUACUGGAAACGGUGGCGAAUACCGCAUAAUGUCGCAAGACCAAAGAGGGGGACCUUCGUGCGUCUUGCCAUCGGAUGUGCCCGGAUGGGGUUAGCUUGUUGGUGGGGUAACGGCUCACCAAGGCGACGAUCCCUAGCUGGUCUGAGAGGAUGACCAGCCACACUGGAACUGAGACACGGUCCAGACUCCUACGGGAGGCAGCAGUGGGGAAUAUUGCACAAUGGGCGCAAGCCUGAUGCAGCCAUGCCGCGUGUAUGAAGAAGGCCUUCGGGUUGUAAAGUACUUUCAGCGGGGAGGAAGGGAGUAAAGUUAAUACCUGUGCUCAUUGACGUUACCCGCAGAAGAAGCACCGGCUAACUCCGUG